UACAGAGGUCCCAAGCGUUGUUCGGAUUUACUGGGCGUAAAGGGUGCGUAGGUGGCGGUGUGUGUCGGAUGUGAAAUCUCCGAGCUCAACUCGGAAAGUGCAUUGGAAACUACAUUGCUAGAGGGUUGGAGGGGGGACUGGAAUACUUGGUGUAGCAGUGAAAUGCGUAGAUAUCAAGUGGAACACCAGUGGCGAAGGCGAGUCCCUGGACAACUCCUGACACUGAGGCACGAAAGCUAGGGGAGCAAACAGG
rnacentral:rRNA from 1 species